rnacentral:rRNA from 1 species
GUGCACCAGGCGAGAAACCUCCGCAAUGCUCGAAAGAGCGACGGGGACUCCAAGUGCCUACGCUCAGCGUAGGCUGUUCCCGAGCCUAAAAGCUCGGGAGUAAGGGCUGGGUAAGACGGGUGCCAGCCGCCGCGGUAAUACCCGCAGCCCGAGUGGUGGCCGCGUAUUAUUGGGCCUAAAGCGUCCGUAGCCGGCUCGGUAAAUGCCUGGGUAAAUCGUCUGGCCCAACCAGACGAAUUCCGGGUAGACUGCCGGGCUAGGGACCGGAGGAAGGGAGAGGGUACUCCAGGGGUAGGGGUGAAAUCAGCAAGGUGAAGUUGCUGAUGUAACUUGCCUUGCAAGUCACAAUCCUGUAAUCCCGUGGAGGACCACCGGUGGCGAAGGCGCUCUCCUAGGACGGUCCGACGGUGAGGGACGAAAGCCAGGGGAGCAAACCGGAUUAGAUACCCCGGUAGU